rnacentral:lncRNA from 1 species
GUCUGCUGAUGCUUGCUGUCAGUUGCCUUCUUUCAGAUGGUAAGAUUUGUCUUGCCUAUAAUACGAUGACAUAUCAUUUAUAUUUCGUGCGAAAUUUCAGGCCAAUGCAGCAUCAGGCAUGGCUGUGAAUGAUGAUUGCAAGCUGAAGUUUUUGGAAUUGAAGGCAAAGAGAACUUACCGUUUCAUAAUUUUCAAGAUCGACGAGAAGCUGAAGCAGGUCAUUGUGGAGACGGUUGGUGAGCCUGCAUUGAGCUAUGAGGAUUUCACUGCCAGCCUUCCGGCCAAUGAAUGCAGAUAUGCGAUUUAUGACUUUGAUUUUGUGACUGAAGAGAACUGCCAGAAAAGCNNNNNNNNNNNNNNNNNNNNGAGCCUGCAUUGAGCUAUGAGGAUUUCACUGCCAGCCUUCCGGCCAAUGAAUGCAGAUAUGCGAUUUAUGACUUUGAUUUUGUGACUGAAGAGAACUGCCAGAAAAGCAAGAUCUUUUUCAUCGCCUGGU